ACCUACACUUACCUGUGAUUUCCAGUUCAGUCCAUGUGGACUUUUUUCCAGCUGCUACAUCUUCUGCAGACAUGAACGUAUGAGUCCGUCUUGGAUUAGGUGAGUCAUACUUAUCAUAUUUGUCUCUAGGCAUCUUCUAACCUGAUUAAGAAAAUGAUAAAUACUGUACAUUGGAAAUAUUAUUUUUAUUCCAAUUUGUCUUGCCCCCUUCCUCCCUUUCCGUUAAUAUUUUUGAUCAACUUUAAAAAGGGAUUAAUAUCAACUAAAACAGAACUCUAAAGAUGCACCUGUACUAAGGCAAUUAACAAGGAGACAAACAUUGCACUAGGGAUGAAGUAAUUGAAAAUGUAAUUUUAACAGGGUGUAAUUAAUUACAAAUUUUCAAAUAUUAAUUGAAGGUAACAUCUUUUUUUUCACUUACAUACUAGUAAAUUUAUAAUAAUUACAAUGCAAAAUCCAAGGUAAUUUCAAUUACAUAUCAAUUACAUGUAUUAUGAUGUAGCCCAAUCUUAAAUAAAAUCAAAACUUUUAUGAAGAAUUAUAAACCAUUCAUUCUUUAUCUUGUUAUUUCACAAAGUUUACAUAAUCAUUAUUUAUAAAUAUAUGUUGACACUAAAUAUAUACUUUUCAGCAAUACAGAAAUGAAUAAAUCUUCAUUGUUCUGGUGUUAGUACAUUGGUAUUAGAGUCUAAAGAUUAAAUGACCUCACCAAACCUGUUCUAUUCAUUGACAACCCCUUACCUGGAUUACCAUUAAACACUCCCUUGUGAUGCAGGCUUGCAUCUUUUCAGGGGUGGUGGUCGUUAAUAGUUCUCUAAACAAACUUCUCAGUGGGACAGGAAAUAUCCUACAUCCUGACAAUUGCUGAGUCAAUGACAUAACGCUUAUAAGUGCAAUAAAGAACUUUUUCAAGUACUUGUAUUGCAAGGAAAAAAUUAUUUGCUUUCCACAUGUGUAUAAUUUUGUAUAAACCUUUGUUAAUAUUUUUUUUUUAAAUGACAAAAAUGUAAUUUAUACUUUUUAAAUAAAUCAUUAGCAAAGUAAUUGUAAUUUGAUUAACUGCAUCUGUAAAUUGCAGCAACUGUAAUUUAAAUGAAGAUUUUGGCAAAGUUAUUUUAAUAAAUUUUUUUACAUCUGUAAUUGCAGUAAUACUAUAGAAGUGCUUUGUCUCUUGGAGGGUCAAACACAUACAUUGAGAACCCUUGAUGUACAUGUCUAAAUAUACAAGCAAACGGAAUAUUUUUUUAUGGUACAUAUUACAUUCAGUAGCAGAUCUAUAGGGGGAUUACAUGGAGUUGCAACCACCCCCUUUGGAAAAGGUACAAAAUUUGAGUUGCAAUCCCAAUUCCCCAUUGAUAAUUUUCUCAAUCAGUCACUGUUAAGAAUAAAUUAUCUAUAUUUAUAAAAAGGAUCAAAUCUACGUACAGUGGUCAAGUGUGCUGUUUGUGGUCCAAGGCGUUGAUAACUGUUAUAAAGACACUAUUCCCAGACAACGAUUCUUAUUCA